GAUGAAGAACGCAGCGAAAUGCGAUAAGUAAUGUGAAUUGCAGAAUUCAGUGAAUCAUCGAAUCUUUGAACGCACAUUGCGCCCCUUGGUAUUCCGGGGGGCAUGCCUGUUCGAGCGUCAUUUCAACCCUCAAGCUCAGCUUGGUAUUGAGUCCAUGUCAGUAAUGGCAGGCUCUAAAAUCAGUGGCGGCGCCGCUGGGUCCUGAACGUAGUAAUAUCUCUCGUUACAGGUUCUCGGUGUGCUUCUGCCAAAACCCAAAUUUUCUAUGGUUGACCUCGGAUCAGGUAGGGAUACCCGCUGAACUUAAGUAUAUCAAUAAGCGGAGGA
rnacentral:misc_RNA from 1 species